UACGAAGGGGGCUAGCGUUGUUCGGAUUUACUGGGCGUAAAGGGCGCGUAGGCGGCUCGUUUAGUCAGGUGUGAAAGCCCUGGGCUCAACCCGGGAAAUGCACUUGAUACUGGCGAGCUUGAGGAUGGGAGAGGAUGGUGGAAUUCCCAGUGUAGAGGUGAAAUUCGUAGAUAUUGGGAAGAACACCGGUGGCGAAGGCGGCCAUCUGGACCAUUUCUGACGCUGAGGCGCGAAAGCGUGGGGAGCAAACAGG
rnacentral:rRNA from 1 species